rnacentral:lncRNA from 13 species
AAUCAGAACAGUUGUGUUUAAUAGAACCAGAAUCAUAUCAACCAUUCUGAAUCAGAACAGUUGUGUUUAAUAGAACCAGAAUCAUAUCAACCAUUCUGAAUCAGAACAGUUGUGUUUAAUAGAACCAGAAUCAUAUCAACCAUUCUGAAUCAGAACAGUUGUGUUUAAUAGAACCAGAAUCAUAUCAACCAUUCUGAAUCAGAACAGUUGUGUUUAAUAGAACCAGAAUCAUAUCAGCCAUUCUGAAUCAGAACAGUUGUGUUUAAUAGAACCAGAAUCAUAUCAACCAUUCCCAAUCAGAACAGAUGUGUUUAAUAGAACCAGAAUCAUAUCAGCCAUUCUGAAUCAGAACAGUUGUGUUUAAUAGAACCAGAAUCAGAACAGAUGUGUUUUAUAGAACCAGAAUCAGAACAGUUGUGUUUUAUAGAACCAGAAUCAUAUCAGCCAUUCCGAAUCAGAACAGAUGUGUUUAAUAGAACCAGAAUCAUAUCAGCCAUUCUGAAUCAGAACAGUUGUGUUUAAUAGAACCAGAAUCAGAACAGAUGUGUUUUAUAGAACCAGAAUCAGAACAGUUGUGUUUUAUAGAACCAGAAUCAUAUCAGCCAUUCCGAAUCAGAACAGAUGUGUUUAAUAGAACCAGAAUCAUAUCAGCCAUUCUGAAUCAGAACAGUUGUGUUUAAUAGAACCAGAAUCAUAUCAACCAUUCUGAAUCAGAACAGAUGUGUUUUAUAGAACCAGAAUCAUAUCAACCAUUCUGAAUCAGAACAGAUGUGUUUAAUAGAACCAGAAUCAUAUCAACCAUUCUGAAUCAGAACAGAUGUGUUUAAUAGAACCAGAAUCAUAUCAGCCAUUCCGAAUCAGAACAGUUGUGUUUAAUAGAACCAGAAUCAGAACAGAUGUGUUUAAUAGAACCAGAAUCAGAACAGUUGUGUUUAGUUUAGUAAAUCAGGAAGCAGUAUUCCAUAUACCUACAGCAUUCUUCACAUUGCUUCUUCAGUCUUCAGUGACCACAUACCAAAAGGCAACACCAUACCCUUAUACACAAGUUAAUGCUUUCUUCCAAUGACAAAACUGAUUCAUAUUAUGAUUUGAAAGUUUGUCAUGUAAUUCUGUACAUUUCAAAGACAAAGAUGGCCACAGAAGUUUGUGAUUCAUUGUGUACACAUAAUGCAGUGAGUGGGCAGCUUACAUGUAAUUUAAUGUGACAUGUGGCCAUCAAGUUUUUUCAAAUCAUUCGUACGUCAGGGUUGG